ensembl:misc_RNA Metazoa_SRP Metazoan signal recognition particle RNA
GCUGGGCGUGGUGGCUCACACCUGUAAUCCCAGCUACUGGGGAGGCUGAGGCGGGAAGAUCACUUGAACCCAGGAGGCCGAGGUUGCAGUGAGCCAAGAUCCCACCACUGCACUCUAGCCUGGGUAACAAAGUGAGACCCUGUUUCAA